rnacentral:sRNA from 1 species
UUAAACUAACUAAAAUCUCUAAACCAAUGUCAAUUUAAGUUUAACCAACACAUCUAAACCAAUUUAAUAAAAU